UGUAACAGGAAGGCAGGCAGCACGGCUGGCUCCCGCAUUGUUGACUUAGCCAGUCUGGCUGCAAAGCCAAGGCCUUUGGAAAGAAAGGCCUCCCAGCUUCCAGCAGUUUCUGUUGAGCUGGUUCCAGGACGGGGCUAGAUCCUGCAAGGUGUCGUUGGGCAGGAGGACGGUUCACCAGGAUUUGUCCUUGCUGAUGGCCUGGGGAGUAAAACAUGGCCACAGUCUCGGAAGGAGAGAUUUCUCUCCACCUUACAGGGUUCUCUGGUCCUCCCCUUUGAGUCAGAGAGGGAAGUUUCCCAGGAGGCACGCUCCCAUCUUCCGACCCUGGCAAGUUACAAAUGGUGCUGCAGUGAUCCACCCCCAUCCACACGUGAGAGAUGCAGAUGUCCUCCAGCUGAAGACCACCGGGGCCACACUUGGCAUGGGAUUGCCGAGCUGUACGGAGGAUGGGGGGGACACCCUCAAUCGAACCCCAGGUGACCAGGCAGCCCAGAACCAAGCCGGAGUGGCCGGGUAGACGAGGGGUGGCUCAGCGCCGCUCCAGAUGCACACUGCAAGAACAAUAAGGAUUUUUAGGGGCAUUAUGACUGAGUCAGAAAACACAGCUGCCCCUGAAAGUCCCUCAUUUUUCUUGCUGUCCUUGAACACUCUCCAGGUGGUAAGUCAUCGGCCAGAGGGCCCAGGUGAGCAGAGGUGGGGAUGAUGGCCCCCACUGACCCUGGCCCACCCCGCAUAGGCCCCAGGAAGCUCUGUGGUGGGGGGGUUCUCCACAGCAGCACCAUUCUCUCCAGUGCUCGGCCUGGACAGCAGCUAACUUCACUGCCUGCCCCCCACCCCCCGCCGCCGAGGCACACCCAGACACGACCAGCCUGUGCUCCACCCAGAGCCAACUGGGAACCCAGGACCUUCUGCCUGCAGAGAGCUGUGGGCUAGAACCCUGGCAGGAUUCCAAGUGGACAGGGCAGCCCCAGGAACGGGGCGGUGCAGGAAGACCCCGGGGGGAGGGCCAGCUGGCCCUUGUCCUCACACGUGGGCCGUGAGCCCAUCUUGCAGACACUGAGCUCCUGGAGAGGCCGGGUGACAGUCGCAGGCCUGACGUGACACAGGAGCAGCAGAGGCCCCCCACCCCCGCCCACAAGCAGCCCGGGGUGCAAAGACGAAUGCAGGCUCUAGCAUGUCCCGACGGUGCUCAGGUUCAAGUCAACGGGCUGACCGCUCUGCUGGAAGAAACUGGGGGUGGGGUGAGGGGAUGGCCAAGAAGUGCGCAACAAGGAAGAAGGAACGGGGCUGGUGGCCGAUGUUUUUCUCUUAUAGGAGGACGAAAGGGGCUCCGGAAUCAGAGCUUGGGUGGUUUAGGGGCCUCCUUUAUGGGAGGGCCCCUGACUAGGAAGGUCCCAGCAGGCCACUCCCACAGACACGGGGCUCGGAAUGCCACCCAGUGCCCUGGCUCAGCUGGAAUCUGCCCUGCUGGCUGCUGGGAGCCUGCCCCACCCAGCCUGGCACUGCACCCACUCCUCGGGAGCCUGGUCACUGGUCCCAUUGGGCGUGCAGGACACAUGGCCUCUCAGAACACCAGGGACCCCACUGUGGUAAAACGUGCAUCCCACGGAAGACAGACGUAGCGCCACCAUCUGCCUACCUGCUGUGUGAUGGUGUCUAAGUUACUUUGCUUCUCUGGGCCUCAGCUGUCACGUCAGUAAACAGGAAUAAGCAACCUCCUUUGCAAGACAACGUGAGGACUGAAGGAAAGCAGCACACAGAGCUUGGCUGGCUUCCAAGAAAAGUGUCUUCCCCUCUCCAAGCAGCUUCUCCCUUGCCCACAGACCCCAAGAGCAGGUGCUGGGUCCCUGGGAGUGGAGAAUUCUUCCCGCUCAGAAGAGCGGCUGGGGCGGGUGUCGUGGCGCAGGCCUCACUACUCCCUGAGCACUAACGCUGCACCUUCUCCCCACACCCCAGGGUCCCGCCUCGUUCAGACUGGGAGCACGUGGACCCAGAAUCCCCGUGGCCCGGCUGCAGCCUCCGCCCUCUCAGAGCUGUGGUAGAGCAGCUGUCACCUCACUGGAACUUUCUGCCCUAACCAAGAUCACGGCCAAAUUCUCUGCCAGCGAAACCCAAGCUGUCCCCACACACUAGAUUCAAGCUACCUGAACCGUGCGACAUGGCGGCAUCCUGCUUCAUCUACUAGGAAGCCCCAGCCCUCGGUCUGCACAGCCUCUGCGUGAGCUGGUCUUGUUGCCCGUGGCGCCCUGGCCCCAGUGUGGUGAAAUGGAGCAGGAGGUUGAGAACCAGCUCACUGCUUAUGAGCCAAGAACGUUGGGCAAGUUCCUUGAGCCCUUUCUGUGCUCCAAGAGCAAGGUAACCACCUAUUUCAUAGGGUUGCUGGAAGGAUUACCCAUAAAAGGCUUAGAACUGAGCCUGGCACCAAGCACUCAAUUAAGGUUCAAGAUCAUUACUAUGCCCUGCUUUGCUCUUCAAGAUUCAGCUUACCUCUUCUGGGUGACCUUUCCUGACCCCAGCCCUGCCCUGGGCCAGAGCCCCUUUGUUCGCCCUGCUCCCCGACUCCACACUCGUCAUGCUGCUUUCCCUGUUAGCCCACCGGCAGCACAGUCCUGGAACCGCCAGCCUCACAAUCACGUACAGUCAUUAAUGGUGCUGACUCCGGGGCCCGAGGUCAGCUGAGGGACCCUGGAGUCUGCAUUGCCAGCAGGCUCCUUGUGUGGUUCUCAGGAUGCCCAACUUUGAGAAACUCUGUUCUGAGCCAUUUUAGCACCAUGGUACUACAGGCAGUGCCUGGUCCGGGGCUCAGUGAUGAGGUGAGGUCAGGGGGCUGCCCCAGGCAGAGGCACAAUGGAGGACCCUCCAUUCUGUGCUAGGACAGAGACGUGGACCCACCUGGGCUUGACUCUGACACAGAACUAACUCACCAAACACACCAGCACCCCUAGUCCAAUACCUAGGGUCUCCCUGAGCCCUCGUUCUAUGCCUGGCCUCUGUGGAACCCACGAUGAUGACCGAGGGACUGCCAUCUCAUGCUGGGGUCUGAAAAGCUAUCAAGGCUUCCACAGGAGCUGCAGAGCAAGGAGACUCUGCUCUGAACUCAGAGUCCCUAAAAUAGCCAGCAGCCCACAAAACCAUGAUGGAAGGAAAAGAAAGGCCAACCAGAGAUACCAGCCCUUGUUUGGAGUUUGCGUUAGAAAGAAAACUAUGAGCUCAUACACCUUAAUAUCAAAAAAACAAGCAACCCAAUCAAAAAAUGGGCAGAAGACCUAAACAGACAUCUCUCCAAAGACAGACAGACAGAUGGCCAAAAAGCACAUGAAAAGAUGCUCAA